rnacentral:misc_RNA from 1 species
GGGCGCGGAAUGUUCAGGGAAAAAACUAAUAAGCAAAACCACCAAACGAAGAUAGAGUCUGCUGUUUUUUUCUCUGUUAAGCAAACCGCUUUAUAUAUCUAAUCCCAAAUCUCUGUUAACCAAUCAUUUGGAAAAGGAAAGAAAGAAAGAAAGCAAUAGAGAAGAUGAAGAAGUUGUCGUCAUGGCUUCCUGGACCAACAAAGAAGCUCCAUGUGAAGGUGAAACCAUUGAAGCUUGAAGGAGUCUGCGUGGGAGAUGUAGAAGAUGGAAAGGAAAGAAUAGUUGUUGUCGUGAUGAAAUGGAAAGGACCCAGAGCUAGAUUUGUUCCAUUUUAUCAUAGAGUUAUGAAAUGCCCAAAAAAUUAUAGCAGCCAUAAAUUCUUGAAGAAAGGAGAGGCGAUUGAAUGGGACGAGGAGUUUGAGAAUAUAUGUAGUUUCUCGAUGGCUUCCAGAGACAGUAAUAAUAAUAAUUCUUUUAGUUCAUGGGAUGUAUCCUUCAAGGUUUUAUACGGUAAGGAUGCGAAAUCCAAGACUAAAUUAGAAGUGCUGGGAAAGGUUUCGUUGAAUAUAGCAGAAUUGGCUUCCAAGAUGGAUUCUCAGAUGGAGGAAAAGCUGCCUGUUUCUGUACGUAUUGAUGGCGGAGUAGAAAAUCAAGCUACCCUUUCUAUAUGCGUGAGCUUUGCUGAGGUAAGGAAUUCUAUUGACCCCCCAGAAAUCGUUCAAAACUCGGUUGAGUCACAUGAUAAAGAAGGAUUGCCUAAAAUAGCUUCUAGCCUGACACCCUCUAAGAACAAAAUCGAUGAAGAAGGCCCACUGAGUUUUUCUUACUCGAAUGACUUAUUCGGAAAUGAGUCGAUUGGCAAUACAGGGAAAGAGUUGGGAUCAUCCUCCCCUGAUUCACAGACUCGGCGCAACUCUCGCCUGAGAGUGAACUUGUCUUUAGGGGAGAAGAAAAGGUUGAGCUUUCCAUUGUUUAGGAGGAAAAGAGAACCAUUGAUUGAGAAGAUUAAUGCAGAAAAUGAUGUAGUCGAAAAUAAAGUUGCCAACUUCGACAAUUCCAAUGCCCAACAGGAAGACGAGAGCAGCAUCUCAGGUGACUUCUGGGAGGUGAAAGAAUUAGUCAGCAGAGAUGGGCAAGCAAAACUCAAUGCCAAUGUGUUCUUCGCUUCCUUUGAUCAAAGAAGUGAGAAGGCUGAUGGACAAGGCGCCUGUGCAACAUUAGCCACAGUCAUUGUCCACUGGCUUCAAUCAAACCAAGACUUUGUGCUGAUGCCAUCGGCAUCACAAUUUGAUAGCCUUAUAGCAGAAGGAUCCUCCAAGUGGCGCAAACUCUGCAACGAUCAGUCCUAUAUGAACUCCUUCCCAGAUAACCACUUUGAUCUUGAGACAGUUUUGAAGGCUGAUCUCAGGCCUUUAACCAUCUUGGGCAAUAAAUCUUUUACUGGGAUUUUUAGCCCGGAAAAGUUUGAAAACUUAAAGGGAGCCAAGUCUUUUGAUGAUAUAUGGAAAGAAAUAAGUAGCAGUACUGAAGAUUAUGAUCAGAGGAUCUAUAUUGUGAGUUGGAAUGAUCAUUUCUUUGUGUUGAAAGCAAAUGCUGAUGCUUUCUACAUCAUUGAUUCCUUAGGAGAGAGGCUCUUUGAGGGCUGCAACCAGGCAUACAUCUUAAAGUUUGAUGAGUCGUCUGUGAUGUACGGGAAGGUGGUGAAAGAAGAUGACGAUUCCAAUGAAAUGACAGUAACAGAGAAGCCCAAUGAUGAUGAGGAACAAGGGGCAGAGAUAAUUUGCAAAGGGAAAGAGUGCUGUAGAGAGUUCAUUAAAAGAUUCCUGGCUGCCAUACCACUAAAGGAACUUGAGGAGGAAGAGAAAAAGGGAAAAGUUUCUACAUUCUCUCUCCUCCAGAGACUGCAGAUUGAUUUCCACUACUGCUCUUCUUCGACCUCCUCUUCACUUGCAUCUCCUACUUCCUCUCACUUCUCCAGUGAUGGGUGCAUUAACUAGUGUAGCUCAAUUGUGUAAAGCAUCUAAUUUUGUUUUACUCAAGAGACUACAGAUAUAAAUGUUCUAUUGCUCUCAAGAAAAAGCUCAAUUCUCAAAAAAUAAGCCUAAAAGUACUUUAGUAUGCUAAAAUCAGUGUUCUUCAUAACACGAUUAAUUGUUUAUGGGAAAAUUAGCUCAAGCCUAGUUUUUCCAAGAAUAAAUUAUCGUAAAUCAAUUGCUGAUUUUACUCAUGUACAGCAG